ensembl:lncRNA TAT-AS1 TAT antisense RNA 1
AGAAGAAACUGGGUGGCUGAAGGACAGGAAUGAGAAAGAAGGACAGUUGCGUUUGUUUGUAUCGUUUGAAAUUGUCCAGUGUGUAUGUGUUCUUUUCAAAUGUUUGAAGAACCAUUGGCUCCCUUAUCAAAAUAGAUCUUUGGGGGCUUGGAUGGAGGAACAGGAAAAGAGGAGCCAGGCUUUUUUGGAAAAUUGGCGGCAGCGGUGGCAUACGGGAAACUGAAAUCUUUAUCUAAUCUCAUCCUUUGUAUAUUCGUCUUGGAUUUGCUGAAGAAAAUUAAAAGGCCAGGCCUACCACUCCUAUGGCACAGUAUUGAUGAGAGACAUCAGUGGAGCUCCCCACCUCCACCCCAGGCUUGGAACUUAGGGAAUGACUGGUUUUUGUCAUUUCACACAACAGCUGAAGGAUUCUGUCCCCACCUCGUCCUCUGUGAAGUCUGCUGGACGUACCUGCCAGAAUCUUCUGAAGAUGACGUUUGCUGAACACUGACCCACAGGGGUUUGAUGGAUUAUUGACAAUGAGACAAGCUGUCUUUUCAUCAAUUAGAUAUUCCAGUUGUUUCAGGUCAAUUUCCCAAGAUUUCUCUGGCUGGAGAGAAAGAAAGGAUGAGACUAAGAUGAUUCUGAAACAUUUAGGGGGAAUCCUCACUUAUCUCAAGGGUCCAAUGUAAGCAAUAAAGUCUGUCUCUGGCUUCAACCACCACUUUGAGACCUUCCUCUGCUGAAGUAAUGUUCAUAUAUUUUUUACAGGGAGUCAAGCCUCCAGUGGGGUUGAAUACAGUAGUCCCCCCUUAUCCACAGGGAGCACACUCCAAGACCUCCAGUGGAUGCCUGAAAUUAUGGAUGUCUGAAACCAUGGGUAGUACUGAGCCC